rnacentral:rRNA from 1 species
AAGCCAGCCUGCGUUGAAUUGGCUUCGCCGGCUCGGUCCUUCUCCUUCCCGUCGGACUACGCCGGGAGCUGGGUUUGUGGAGCUGGGUUAGGCAGGAGAGGGGCUGGUGGCGCGGAGUGGUGGCAGGGCGGAGCGGCGCGACAGGUGGUCGGUGGCGAAAGGGAGGCCGGAGAUAGCGAGGCGGCGGACGACGAUGCGGCAGCUUGGGGGCGGGGUGCUAGGAGGUUCGGGGUGAGCAGAGGGGACCGGAGACGGCGACGACAAGGACUGCAGGGGACGCCGCCACUGUACUGAUCCAGGGUGCCGCUCCCGUCCCUCCUCCUGGCCGGGCACCGAACGCUCUGCCCCGGCGCCUUCUUCCGUUCCUUCCCCUUCGCCCCCUCGCGGUUCCGAGCCGGCGGAGGUGGACGGGGCAGGGUCCUCGUGGCGCGGUGGUGGUCGCUGCUGCUGCCCAGCCGAGUCCAGUCCCGAUACCACCGGCUCGUCUACGCCCUAUAGGAACGGCAGCUGCGGCGAUUCUUCUUCUUUCAACGGCUCGAUGAAUUUCCGGAGAGACCCCUUGCACUGGAAAGACACCUCCUAUGCAAACCACUGAGGUUACUACCGUCGGAACUCUCAGAAGUCCGAGCAUUUCAACGUAACAACCAGAGUUUCAGUCAGCAGUCGGACAGAAGAAAACGUCCACCUUUCUCCUAGGCACAUACAAGCCCUAAACACUACGUACCUUGUCUGUUAUGACCACGUUUAUACUAAAAUUGGAGUCGUUGUGAACAAUCUAGAGACUUACCUCUGUCAUUACACUAUAGACUACACUGCCAGUUCCAAGAAGAUGGACUACCCGUAUAUUGUCUACCGGUGUAGAAAGAACACCUAAAAGUGAUAUUACAUCGACAGCAGUUUUAACGUCGAAUAAAUCGCGAGAAUCUUCUUCCGUGAUGGUUGUUACCGCGGCACAAUCGUGAACCUGCACGUAUACUUCCACCAGAAGAGUACACAAGUGCCCCAGUUCAACAUUUGUUUUUUUCGUUUAAACCCACGCGCCUCGAUAACCACAGUUCGACGUUCCAAAGGUACCGACCAAGACCUCCUGGAGAACAGUUAAUGUUGCCAGUUCAAGAACCAUAGUUGAAGAUGCUUUUCUUAGUUUGUAGUAUGGAAGGGUACAAUUAACAUAGUUCCUAGGACCUUGUUGUAGUGACGAAGCCCUUUAAUUAAUCGGGGACCGAACCUAAUUCCAUGUCAAGAGAAGUAUACCAAGGUGACCGGCAGAACCUCGGAUAGAUAGUUUUUAAGGGUCUACAACUGGUCCCAAAUAUACAAAGUUUCCAACAACUCCCUAGUGGACGACUACAACGACCCAAUGCACAGCCACUACAAGAACAUUUUACACCACUGUUUGAAGAGAGAUCACAGGGUCUCAAACCACGUUACAAUGACCUACUACGUUUUCGAGUAAGACUUCGGAAACCUCCAACCCGACCCCUGUACUGUUAACUCCAACACUAUUUCGCUGUUUCUCUACCGUCGUGCCACAGUUUUUGAUAUCGGCGUCUCUACGACUCUCUCUUGUUGAUAUUGUCUACCGGACGUGGAUACGGUUCGAUGUGUUAAGCGGAUUAUUUACAGUGCGGCGCAACUUAUACUACCUCUGAGAGGGCCUUGGAGAAAAACUAAAACUAACCAUCAGGGUGCACCUAACUAGGUAGAAGACCCGUGUUCUACGUCGAGAGACUUUUCUUUCUAAGACCCCGUACUCUGGGCCAGUCACUUCAGUCGACCUGCUGGUUGACCCUGCCUUUGACAAAGAGAGCUCGAAACGGCGGAACAUACUUAAACUUAAACUUAAACGUUUCCCCUCCAUACGGGUCAGACGUUUGCCUUCACCUUCGAACAUAGGUCGUGACCGGUACUGGUCUCGUGUACUUACCCGGUUACCCCACACUACACUACACUCGUUGUAGUAAGACCUUUGCCUGGGGUACGUCGUCGUGUCGUCGAACAGGUCCGCUAGUUGUGCUCGGAAGCGGGUCCGAACCCAACGGUCGUAAGACCUUUACCUUACUACUAAGGGUCGAGUUUUAUUUUUAUUUACUACAUUGUAAAAAGAAUACAAAAGAUGCAUGACGUCUCUUUUCAUUACGACGUUGUUGUAACUUUUACCGGGAGUACCCCUUUUUUGCUCAGUACGGUA